rnacentral:rRNA from 1 species
UACGUAGGGUGCAAGCGUUGUCCGGAAUUAUUGGGCGUAAAGAGCUCGUAGGCGGUCUGUUGCGUCGCUGUGAAAACCCGGGGCUCAACUCCGGGCCUGCAGCCGAUACGGGCAGACUAGAGUUCGGCAGGGGAGACUGGAAUUCCUGGUGUAGCGGUGAAAUGCGCAGAUAUCAGGAGGAACACCGGUGGCGAAGGCGGGUCUCUGGACAGUUCCUGACACUGAGGCACGAAGGCCAGGGGAGCAAACGGG